UCCCUCCUCCUUUCCUCCUCCUUUUUUCAUAUUUCACAAUUUUUUAAACCCUUAUUCAUCUACUCCGCUUUAUCUAAUAAUUAUUUCGGUAUGUAAAGCUCUAUCAUCAUUUAAUAAAAUGACGGUACCUGAGUAAGAAGCUCCGGCUAAAUACGUGCCAGCAGCCGCUUUAAUACGUAUUUAGCAAGCGUUAUCCGGAUUUACUGGGCGUAAAGGGAGCGUAGGCGGCCUGCCAAGUCUGAUGUGAAAGGCUGGGGCUCAACCCCAGGACUGCAUUGGGAACUGUUAGGCUGGAGUGUCGGAGG
rnacentral:rRNA from 1 species